GCUCCAGUAGCUCAGUGGAUAGAGCAUCUGCCUUCUAAGCAGAUGGCCGUAGGUUCGAAUCCUACCUGGGGCG
rnacentral:tRNA from 1 species